UCUGGGUUGGCCUGUGAUUUUACAAAGAGAAUGUAGCAGAAGUAACAUUCUAGGACUUCUGAGACUGUCAUAAUAAGCCUGGCAGCUUCCGCAGAGGUGUAUUGGAACAUUCGCUCUGGGGUUCCAGCUUCCAUGUUAUAAGGAAAACACAAGCAGCCCUGAGGAAAGGCCCACUGCAGAGCACCCAAGGCUCCUGGCUGAGCUUCUACCCAACAACUAGUACAAACCUGCCAGCCAAGGAGGUGUGACCACAGUGCAAUACAGCCUUGAAUUCCUGGCUCAAGUGAUCUUCCUGACUCGGCUUCCUAAAUAGCUAGAACUAGAAGUGCACUACUGCUCCCAGCAACAUUUUUUUGUGUGUGUGUAUUUAGCCAGUGGCUUUUUACCAACACAUUUCUGCAGUUAAGAGUUUGCCCAUAUAUACUGGAAGAUUUGGAAUCAGAAGACCAAGACUCCUUGAAUGGCUUUUCUGACCACUUGCUAUCUGAGCUGAGCUGUCAUAAUGGAAAUGUUAGAAGACAACAUCCUGAGGAUGGACAAAGUUGUAAGGAGACAGAGACUGGACAUGAGUAUUGGAUUUGCCAUCACAACAGCUCAGGAACCCGGCAGACAGAGAGUGGAGUGAAUUCUCCUUGGAGUGGAGUCGGAGAGGAAACUAGUUGGGAAAAGCUUGAAAGAUUAAAGCAGAAUUCUCUUUUGUGGUUGUGAGUGGAGAAAAUAGCAAAUAUUAUAAUUAAGAACUUUUCAUUUACAACUAUCACAGUUCUAUGGUUGUUUGAUUAUUGUACAGCACCGCCUACUGCAGUAAGCUAUAGAACAGAAUCUGUGUUUAUUUGGCUCACCACUGUAUGCACAGCUCCUGGAACAAAGGAGGUACACAAAUAGCUGAUAGGUGAAUAAAUGAGGGAUGCAAUGAUGAUUAAAAUGAAAUCAUGCCAGUUAAACACUUGAUAUAGUGCUUGGCACACAGCACUGAACUGCUCUUCAUUUUUGUAACUGUGUAAAAUAUAUUAUUACUAAAGAAUAAAAGUGAUAAAACAA